rnacentral:rRNA from 1 species
CAGUAGCCGCGGUAAUACGUAGGUGGCAAGCGUUGUCCGGAAUUAUUGGGCGUAAAGGGCUCGCAGGCGGUUUCUUAAGUCUGAUGUGAAAGCCCCCGGCUCAGCCGGGGAGGGUCAUUGGAAACUGGGAAACUUGAGUGCAGAAGAGGAGAGUGGAAUUCCACGUGUAGCGGUGAAAUGCGUAGAGAUGUGGAGGAACACCAGUGGCGAAGGCGACUCUCUGGUCUGUAACUGACGCUGAGGAGCGAAAGCGUGGGGAGCGAACAGGAUUAGAUACCCCCGUAGUCCCUGUCUCUUAUAC